rnacentral:rRNA from 1 species
GACGAACGCUGGCGGCGUGCUUAACACAUGCAAGUCGAACGGUGAAGGAGAGCUUGCUCUCCGGAUCAGUGGCGAACGGGUGAGUAACACGUGGGCAACCUGCCCCAGACUUCGGGAUAACGCUUCGAAAGAGGUGCUAAUACCGGAUACGAACUCCUUGGGCAUCCUUGGAGUUGGAAAGUUUUUCGGUCUGGGAUGGGCCCGCGGCCUAUCAGCUUGUUGGUGAGGUAACGGCUCACCAAGGCGACGACGGGUAGCCGGCCUGAGAGGGCGACCGGCCACACUGGGACUGAGACACGGCCCAGACUCCUACGGGAGGCAGCAGUGGGGAAUAUUGCGCAAUGGGCGAAAGCCUGACGCAGCAACGCCGCGUGAGGGAUGACGGCCUUCGGGUUGUAAACCUCUUUCAGCAGGGAAGAAGCGAAAGUGACGGUACCUGCAGAAGAAGCACCGGCUAACUACGUGCCAGCCGCCGCCGUAAAAC